rnacentral:tRNA from 1 species
GAUCCUUUAGUAUAGUUAGUAUGCUCGACUUCCAAUCGAGAGGGUGUAAGGAUUA